rnacentral:tRNA from 1 species
GGAGACGUGGCUGAGUGGUCGAAAGCACCUCACUGCUAACGAGGCAGGGUCUUAAAAGCCCUCGACGGUUCGAAUCCGUCCGUCUCCG